rfam:Rattus norvegicus chromosome 7, whole genome shotgun sequence.
UCGGAUUUAGCUCAGUGGUAGAGCGCUUGCCUAGCAAGCGCAAGGCCCUGGGUUCGGUCCCCAGCUCCGAA